rnacentral:lncRNA from 1 species
GAAAACACGGUGUUGCAGUGGCUGUUGGGGAGGCCAUGGUUAACGUGUCUCUGAAGGCCUGGAAUUCAAAGCAAGACAAUUUGUCAGCUGCAGUAUUAAAGAUUCCUGGUACAUGACAACAUACCAAAUAAAAGUGUUACAGGCAGCCAGCCAGGUCAGUCUUCUCAUGNNNNNNNNNNNNNNNNNNNNNNNNNNNNNNNNNNNNNNNNNNNNNNNNNNNNNNNNNNNNNNNNNNNNNNNNNNNNNNNNNNNNNNNNNNNNNNNNNNNNGAGACAUAGGGAAAGGGGGGAGGGAGAGAGAUGGGGAGGAGGGGAGAGACACAGGGAAAGGGGGGAGGGAGAGAGAUGGGGAGGAGGGAGAGACACAAGGAAAGAGGGGAGGAAGAGACACAGGGAAAGGGGGUGGGGGAAGAGAGAGACAAAGAGGGAGAAAUGAGAGAGAGACACACAAGGGGAGGGGAAGAAAGAGGCAGAGGGGGGAGAGUGAGACUGGGAAGGAGAGGGGAGACAUUGACACAGAGGAGCAGAGACAGCACACACUGCCCCCCCCCCCCACACACACACACACACACCAUACACAUUUUACACACUGCCCACCCACACACUGAACCUUUCACACACAUUGCACCACUGCUCCUAUACUCUACUACAGCCCCAUAUCCCAGCAGACUCCAGGUAAGUUGUCAAACUGUUCUUAAACGAUUUGACGACUUACUCUGGGCGGGGGUGCCGACGCUCCUGGCACCAUAACCACUACACAGAGGAGUAGUGGUUAUUGUGCAUGGAAUAUUUCUUUAAAUAAUCUACAAGUGCCCCUCUCAGGCUUAGGCUCUGGAUCCGCCACUAGUAUAUGACAUGUAUAUUAAUGUGUGUAUUAGUUAUAUAUAUAUACCUAUUAUAUUUACACAUAUUAAUGUACAUUUAUAAAUGCAUAAUACACAGAGAAAUUUCAUUAAUAUGUACCAUAUGUAAUGAGCAGAUAUUGGCCCAGUCUUGUUGCUAGGUGCAUACUCCAGCACAAUAACAUAUUUAAAGUGAAGAGCACACCCACAGGACUUCAAAAUAAACAUUUUUACAGUUGUGCCCUACAUACAUUCACCAUUUCAGUCCCAUUAACAAGCUUUCCUUAAUAUGUCAAGGUGGUUGGACUGAAACAUUGAUUACAUGCAAAGGCACGUCUGCUUAAAAUAAAUCUGCACUUUUGUUUAUUUUGAAGCCUAUGAGUGCGCUUUUUACGUUGAAGUACUUUUUAAUUUUAAGUUAUCUGUUCUAACUCUGUAUCUGCACACUAUGCUGGCGCAACGCAUUAUGGGGCUGGUAAAUAUUUUUUUUCCAGGGCUGCUUUUCAUUCCCAGUCCGGCCCUGGUGGCCGCCUAUCCUAGUUAAGCCAGUAACACUAAAUAAUAACCUUAAACCCCUUAAGACCGCAGCCAAAUGUACAAGUUGUGAUCCAAAAAAAAUGUAAACAAACCACAGAAUUUUACUAUAUGUCUGUUCAACAAUAAUUUACCUCUUUCAUACUAAGUGCACCCACACGUAUUAUAUAUCAUUUUGUUCAGGGGAAACAGAGCUUUCAUUUCAUAUCAAACAUUCAUAUAUGGAAUGCCAUUUUAUAUGAAUAAAAUCUAAACAACUUUAAAAAAUAAUAUUUCUGUAUUUUGUACUCAGCACUGUGAAUCUUUUUUGUCAGAUUAAAUGUUUACUUAAUCAGCUUGUGUCUCUGUUCUCUAUGAGCUUCAGUCUCCAGAGGAAAGCUAAGGUAAACACGUUACCAAAAAGGGUUAAUUAUAUGUGCUUGAUCAGUAAAAGUAGAACUGUGAUUCUAUAAUUCUCCUGUGUCUGGGGUAACCUAAGACGCCCGGGUUUAAAGUCUUGGUGGUGGCAGUAAAGUGUGUACUAGGGGGUUAGUGUAGAAGGGAUUGCAGGGGUUAAUUGAGUGGUUGCUGGGACUAGCAACAGGUAACCAGGGGUCUGGUGUCAUUAACCCUGUCACUUCUAGUCUUUUGUAGUAGCCACUUGGACACAAACCCUAGCCAAAUUUAGCGUUAAUUUAUUUAUUUUUUUUGCAUUUUUCACAUAAAAUCUGUACUUUCACUGAUAAUAUUAUUGUUAGUAUAUAGUUUACUGCCCUGAAACACUCCUAGUUCUGUUCAGUGAUGUCUCACGAGCGCCACGGUACCCCCCAUGUAUAGGUUUUAUGGGGUUUUGGAAAGUUACAGGGUCAUAUAUACGGCUUAUCCAUUUAUGCUUUAUUACAUUGAAAUUUGGCAAAGUGAUUUUCUGGGCCUAUAUCGCAUUUGAGAGAGCAUGGCAGCCUGGGUAAUAACAUUUCCACAAUUAUGGCAUACCAUUUUCAAAAGUAGGUAACCCAGAGUAUAACAAAUGGUGCAUUUUAAGAUGUUUGGUCUAACCACUUUAUCAGAAAUGAAGGGCCCACUUAGCGGUUAUAGCUUUAUUUGUGCUUUUUCACACACAUGAACUCACUUUUCACAUGGCCGGUGUAUAGUCGCCAUAUGGGCAGUCGGACUCCAGGACAACCCUCCCACAUACCUAACCCAAUAAUCGCACUGACACUCGGGUAUAUGGGAAAAUUUGUCCACAGCUUUAUUAAACAAUCUUAAAUAAUAAUAACAAUAUAUUAAUAGUAACAUAAUAAUAAUAACUUAACAAAUAAACAUGGGUCAUUGCCCCCAUACUCCGCCCUCGCAUCCGACUCCUUCUGUUAUAUAAAAAGGCAAUGACCCCCAUAUAAAUAGCACAUAUAUAUAUAUAUAUAUAUAUAUAACACAUAUAUAUAACAUAUACCGACAUUAUUCCAACAUACCAACUUAAAGUGCCAAACAUAAGUUAACCAUGGCAGGGGUAUACCCGGAUACCCCUACCCCACCCGGUUCUGAACCACCAAUGACCACAGUUUCCUUUUCUGCCACGUUCAUCCUAGGGAGCCUAUUCCUUCUCCUUCAGCUCCCUAUCCCGCCACAAGCUCAGACCUUGAUCCCUUUAGCUGUCUGAGCUCCGCCACCACGAAGAAAUUGCGCUCUCUGCAUUCCUUCCUGCCAACAUAAGUUCAGGAGAUCCCAUCACACCGCCGAGAGAUGGACUCCAUCCGAGCGGUAAUACCCUGGCAGCCCGCCUUCCAACUCACCAUGCCGCACAACUACUCCCCCGACUUUUCUCACAAAGCUCGCCAUCAAACUGUUCACUUUUUUCCUGCACUUAUCAAUAGCCACUGGGUCCCGUGCGUGCCGCCACCGACGCCUCGGGACCAUCUCUGACCACACUAGCAUGAUCCUGGGAAGCAGGUCCCUCAAUUUGUUGAGGUCCUGCUUCAUCCACUUCACCAGCCGUCGUUGCGGCAUGAGGCCCAAGUCAUUGCCCCCCGCAUGUAGAACCAGCAUGUCUGGCGCCUCCCCACUCACUAUCCUUCGAAACACAGCCCCGCAAACUUCCCCCCUGCUGAACCCCCUGAACCCAAACCAUUGCACUGCCAACUGGUCCCACACGGAAAGCCCAGCUGCUGGCCCUGGGCUCGAGCUGCAGCCCUCCUUGCGGCCCAGAAGACAAAGGAAUGGCCAACGAUCCAUGCAACACGGCCUGGGAAGGAGAAGAAAACAAACAAUUAAAUAAACAUAUGGGGAGAGAAAAACCCCUCCCCCACCCCUACCGGGAUCCCCCUGAUACAGCAAAUUAUUUUUUUUUUAAUCCAGUAGACCCAACCGCACAUAGGAACGGAACCGCACCGACUCCCAUCUCCCUAUCCGCUUCACUACCUCAUCCCCAAGACCCAAUCGUGCGGCCUCCGUGGCCGCCCCAAUGCGAAAGGAGUGUGUUCCAAAUCUAUCCGCCCGUAGCCCCAUCCUCACGAGGCCCAACCGAAAGACCUUACCAACUUGAAAUCGUGAGAGGGAAGAGCCAUCCGCAUGCACUAGUAGGGAUCCCCCUACCGCCGGUCUCCGGGCCAUGUACUCCGCCACCGCAGCCACCGGGCACAGUGCUGCGCCCGGCAAGGCCCGUAGUGUCACAUCCCGGCCUCUGCCGGUGGCGUCCGUUUUGGAUGUUGCCAGGUGCGCCACCAACUUUCCAUCCAUAACCCGAACCCCCGAUACCUGUAAACCACCGGGCACCGCCCUAGCAGCGCUCACCAACUGCCCUAUCCGGAAUGCCCCGAAAAAGGCCAACAGGAACGCUGCCUUGAACAAAGACGCCUCAAACUCGUCGAAACAAACCUCUGGUAACAUUCCGACCAAAGCCCCCAGCAGCCGCACCGACACCGGGCGCCUAGUGUCCGGCCGCCUGCGGCCCCUCCGAUACCCUUUCAACGCCUUCCUGAUAACGAAGGUCUUGGUAAGAUCCUCCUUCCCGUGCAACCUAAACCAGAAACCCAACGCCGCCAUGGACCUGUCAACCACUGCCGGGGACAACCCCUUUGCCAGCAAUUGACACGUGUACCACAGAAAUGCGUCCCCGAGUGACUCCCCCGCAACUACGCGAUCUAGCCCUUCCAACGACCGUUCCCAAGAGCUUACUGUAGGCGGCCCACGUGGCCGGUGCCAGGGAAGCCUUCACAAGUCCCCCAAGCAGGAUGCUCCCAGCUGCCAUAUCUCAUCCGGGCACGCUUGACCCACUUCCAAUGCCUCUGGCGCCACCGCUCGGAAUCGGGACCACUGAAAACGAGACAAAGCGUCAGCCACGUCGUUCAAGUACCCGGGAACAUGGCGCGCGCGAAAAACUACGUUAUAUAACAUACACCUUAACACUAGACACCGCAGCAACCUAACCACCGGCUUGGAAGCCGCAGACUGAUUAUUCACUGCAUGCACCACCGCCAUGUUGUCGGAGAAAAAUACCACCUUUCGGUCCCGCAGCCCCUCACCCCAUAGUGCCAUCGCGACGACCAACAGAAACAACUCCAUAAAAGCCAGGUUGCGCAUGAGGGGACUCGACCCCCACGCUUCCAGCCACUUUUCCGCACACCAUCUGCCCCCAAAGUACGCCCCGAAACCUACACUACCCGACGCAUCCGUGAACAGUUCCAACUCUGCCGCCGCCAUGCCCUCCUGCCGAAAGAACACCGUCCCGUUAAAAUCCCUCAGGAAGGUGUCCCAUGCGCUCAAGUCGGCCCUCAUGGCCGCAGACACCCGAAUAAAAUGGCGUGGGGAUCGAACCCCCGCCGUAGCAGCCGACAGGCUGCGGCUGAAGACCCUACCCAUGGGUAUCACACGGCACGCGAAGUUCAGCAUGCCAAUCAACGACUGCAGCUGCCGCAAAGUGACCUUGCGCACCCGUGCCACAGCCGCCACCACCCCCUUCAGUCCCUCCAGCUUCCCUUGAGGCAGCCGACACUCUCCCCGAACCGAGUCUAUCUCUAACCCCAGAAAACUAAGGCACGUCACCGGGCCCUCCGUUUUAUCGGCUGCCAACGGAACCCCGAAGCGGCCCGCCACCCACUCAAUCGUCCGAAGUAUGUGCAGGCACGCGGAGGAGGCGGUUGGCCCUACACAGAGGAAAUCAUCCAGAUAGUGCACUACCGAACCGCUCCCAGCUUCAACCCGCACCACCCACUCGAGAAAGGUGCUAAAUUUCUCGAAGUAGGAGCACGAGAUGGAACAACCCAUGGGGAGGCAUAAGUCCACGAAAUACGCCCCCUCGAAAAAACACCCCAGCAAGUGAUGACAAUCCGGGUGGACCGGCAGCAACCGAAAUGCGGCCUCGAUAUCCACCUUAGCCAUCAGAGCCCCGCGCCCGGCCCGUUUUACCAGCUCGACCGCCCGGUCGAAUGAUGCAUACGAGACCGAGCACAACUCCUUGUCAAUAUCGUCAUUCACCGACUCCCCCUUCGGGUAGGAUAGGUGGUGAAUGAGCCUGAACUUCCCCGGUUCCUUUUUCGAAACCACCCCAAGGGGGGAAACCCGCAGGCCCUCCAACUGGGGUACCGGGAAUGGACCUGCCAUCCGACCCAGCCCAACUUCCUUGCCCAGUUUCUCCCGUACCACACCCGGGAAGUCCUUGACCAACUUCAGGUUGCGCAGUCUCCCCGCCCCCCCCCUCUCCCGGAAUGGGAUAAAAAACCCUUGCCCGAAACCCGCCCUGAGUAUCGCGGCAUCUGCCCUGUUACCGUAGCGGCUUAGCCACGGCUCCAUCGCGUCUAGCCUCACCGGGGUUAAACCCCGUGGCAGGGGGCGUGCCCCCACUGGCCGCGGCAGAAGCCCCGGCAACUCCCGACUAUCCUUUCUCAAAACACCGAUUGAGCCCGUGCGCGCCCCCGCAGCCGGAGCAUUCAUGCUUAAAGCGGCAUGUGGUCCCCCAUUUGCACUGGCCAUCGUUAAAGAACCAGCAUAAGCCCUUUUGAAAGGCGGCCGACGAGGCGGACUGCCCCUUAGCGCCGGCCGUGUGUUGAAAGGGCUGCGCCUUCUGCGCCAUCAUCAGCUUCAUACAGAGAGGCAGGUCCAUUUGAUCCCACCUCAUACCCGGAUUCGCCGCCAACUGCUGCCUGAACUGCUCAUCGUACCGCCACCAGGCUAACCCCCAUAGGUGCGGUACGCCUCCCAAAUUCCGUCCAAGUAGCAGAACAGGGACGAGCAUAACCCCGGAGAUUUCUCCCCAAGCACGCUAGCCAGCACACAAAAUGCCCUCAACCAGUUACCAAACGAUUUCGGAAUCUUACGAUACCUCUUCCGUUUCUCUUCCUCCUCCUUCUUCUCGUCCUUUUUAUCAUCCUCCUUGAGGUCAAUAAAGUCCUCCAAGGGGAGAAGAGAAAAAAUCUCGCAGAACUCACCUUUCCAUAUCCUCUCUUUUACCUCCUGCUUAAGGUGUACCCCCAGCGGGCCCGCGAAUGACACAUAUGCGUGCUGUCUAGCCGCGUCGGGAACACCCCCACACAAUUCCGCCCGUUCACCCCCCCGUAUCCGUUGUCUCUGCCGUCGUCCCAGCAUCACCGCCGAUGCUAGGCCCCGCGGACAUCCCUACACUAGCACCCGCGACCCCCGCACUGUGAGCCCACACCGGGCCUACGCUGCCCCCUUUGUCACCCCCCGCUCCCAAUGAGUGGAGUAGCGCUUGAAGUGUGUGUACUAAUGCGCUGGAGUGCAAUGACUCGCUGGACUCACCGGCCAAGCCCCCUGUUCCCAGAGCGGCAGGGGCUGCAUCGUCCAACACCCGGCGUCCAGGAUGAGCGACAUCCGUAAUCGUCCUGCCAACCGGGGAGCCCACCCGGUGCCUCGCCUGUACAGCUGGAGAACGGCUCCGAGACCUGGAAUUAGGAGAAGUCCUGGGUAGGGGGUACUGAGCCCGUGCUCCCCUCCCGUCCCGACCUUGGGAGCGCCUGCCAACGCCCGAAACCUCCAGCUGCAUGCCCCGUCUGCUCUGCGCCCGUGAGCCCCUGGGACUACGACUCCUCCCGCCCGUACAUGGGGACCGUCCCCGCCGACCGAGCCUGGGGGUCACCGCACCACCUCUAGCCGGGCUACCAGACCCAGAUCGGUGCCGUCUGGAUCUACCUACCAUCCCCCCAGACCCUGUGGCCCUAACCGGUGAAGGACUAUUACUCUCCUGCCCUGAACUAGACCCCUCCCUACUACUACGCGCCUCAGACUGGCCAGGCUCUUGGGGUGAACCCUGACCCCCCCCCGGGCGGGCCCCGGCUGGGGCCCCCUGCACUUGCCUGUUGGCCCAGGGGCCGGCCGCGUGUCUUCCCGGAUCCGGCCCCGUCCUCUGCGACCACCGAUGGGGUAGGAGUCCUCCUGGGCUGCCCCUCCGUGCCUCCCGACCGUCCUGGGGGCCGUCCGCGCACCUCCACCUCGGGAGCCGCGGCACCCCCGUCCAUCCGCCUCCGGGCACUGCUCCUAGGCCCCGGCCGCUCGCAGGGAGGCGGGGCCUCGACCACGCGGCUGCCGGGCCUGUCACUGCUCACCCCAGACGCCACUGGAACACUCCGCCCACCGUCACUGGGCCCCACGCCCGGACUCAGCCGUCUGGGGGGCCUCCUGGCCCGGACCGGCCGCCCCCGUCCCGUUCCCAGUCAGCACCCUGCAGUCUCCCCGCCGACCGGAUCCCCUCCAACAGCCGCUCCACAUCGUCCAUCAGCCCUGCAGGGAGACAAAAAAGGGAAAAAAACCCACCAGGCCGAAUCUGGGAACACAGAAGUGAACACAAACUCAGUCAGGUAGGAAAUUAGAAGUGAGCUCACCUAAAAUGGCUGCCUAUUUAAAUAGCCCAGCCUACUUACCCAUAAAUCCAUACUUCCUUCCCUCCUCCUAAUGCCUGCCUCCUAACCCCUGUCAAGGCCCUUUUUCGCUUAGCUGUGCUUUGGCUACAUGGGGCUACAGGACAUUUCAUAUUCCUGAUAUGAGUUAUUGCAACAAAGCCUCACUAUUUGUAUUUAACAUUAUCUCCUGAAUGUAACAGUACCCCCUUGUACUAGAUUUUUUGGGGGGAAGUCACGGGGACAAAAAUAUUAGAUGUCCUUUUCAAAGUUGGCAAUUUGACAAAGUGAUUUUCUGCGUCUAUCUCGCCUUUGAGAGAGCAUGGCAGCCUGGGUAAUAACAUUUCCACUAUUAUGGCAUACCAUUUUUAGGCAACCCAGAGUAUAACAAAUGCCAUUUUAACAGAAAUGCUGGGCCCAUGUAGCGAUUUCUAAUUUUAUUUUUGUCUUUUUAAUCAGAUAAAUUGCAUUUUCACUGGAAAGGUCAUAAUCCUGAUAUUAGUUAGUGCAAUAGAGACUUGGUAUUUCGAUUUAACACUGUCUUCUGAAUAUAACUGUACCCCCAUGUACUAUUAUUUCAGAUUUGUCUGAUAAGUCACAGGCCGAAAUAUAUUAGAUGCCCUUUCAGCUUGUAAGUUUGUCAAAAUUAUUUUCUGGGCCUAUGUGGCUUUUCAGAGAGUAUGGCAGCAUGGAUAAUAACAUUCCCACCGUUAUGGCAAACCAUUUUCAAAAGUAGGAACCCCAGAGUAAAACAAAUAGCAUAAUUUGAGAUGUUUGGUCUAGACAUUUUAACAGAAAUGCUGGGCCCAUGUAGCAAUUUCUACUUUGAUUUUUGUCUUUUUAAUCAGAUAAAUUAAAUUUUCACUGGAAAUGUCAUAAUCCUGAUAUUUGUUAGUGCAAUAGAGACUUGGUAUUUUGAUUUAACACUGUCUUUUGACUAUAACAGUACCCACAUGUACCAUGUUUCCAGGUUUUUAUUAUAUCACAUGAAUAGAACAGUACCCCCACAUACACUUUGAUCUGAAGGCAGAGAGAUCUUUGAUAGCACAGAGAGUCACUGUGUGAAAAGUUUGAGAAGUAAAAAAAAAACCAAAAAACUAUUUUUGGUAACCCUUUCAAUGCUAAUCACAGCAUUAACCCUUUGAUUAGUUUUUUAUUGGGAAGACACAUUUCAAGUACUACAAAUGUAGUAUUUUGAGUUGUUUGGUGUAGCCACUUUAGAAUGGCUAGCGUAAACAGGGACAGGCCAAGGUCAGGGGAAUCCAGAAGUCAGAGUAGUCGGUAAAACAAGCCAAUGGGUCGGUACAGGCAGCUUAGAAAGCGUAGUCAGGACAGGCCAAGGUCAGAAAUCCAGGGAAAUCAAGCAAACUGCCAAAGUCCCAUACAGAGUGAUUCAGAAGUUCAGCUCUGUAUGGUAGACUUUGAAACAGUCUGUUAUGCAGAGGGCGGGUAGAGAUGGGCAGGUUGGGCAAUAAUAACUGGAGUCCAUUCGGACUCCUUUCUUGUAGCAAACACGACACUUUCUUUGGGGAGCUUUUUUACUAGGGGUGGGUGGGAUUCGGGAAGGGAAGUGUUUGCCACAAAGUCUUUGGAGGUCUCGUGAUUCCAAAGUGGGAUUGGGGGGCUGGGUAAAUAAUAUACGGGACAAAAGGCUUAAUGUGAAUUCAAGGAAAGGGCAGGGCCUACCUAUGACCUCUUUUGUAUAGAGGACAUAGGCAUUGAAAAUUGCAAUCUGGCUCAUGUAAAUUGCAAUUUUCUUGUACCAGGUCCUAGUUUUUCAUUUCACCAGAUAGGGUUGUAUACAUUGGUCAGCCAAGUCUACUCCCCCCAUAAACUUGCUGUAGUCUGCAAUGCACUUCGGCUUUUCCAGAUGCUCAGUGCUACCUCUCACAGACACUGGCACUGUACUUUCGUCGUGCAUAGUAGACAGCAUGUAUACAUCUUUCCUAUCACUGAAGCGAAGAGCAAGCAACUCAUCCUGGUGGAGAGCUGAAGAGGAACCUCUACUGCUUCUGCCUCUUGCCAGGGCUUGGGGGAAACCCCUGCGAUUCUUCCUCACUGUGCCACAGGCUAGGGUUUCAAAGUAACAUACAUUUUUAAAUAAUUCAAUACUGGUAUAAUAAUUGUCAACCCAUAGCCUAUAUCCCUUAUUCAACAAGGGAAGGAUUAGAUCCCAAACAGUCUUGCCACUUGUACCCACAGAAUCAGGGCAUCCUGGUGGGUCAAGAUGGCUAUCCUUCCCCUGGUAAAGGCGAAACGCCCAUGUGUAACCAGUACAGGAUUCGCAUAAUUUAUAAAAUUUAACGCCAUAUCGGGACCGCUUAGAUGGAAUAUAUUGCUUAAAUAGCAGUCGACCUUUAAAUUUCAUAAGGGACUCAUCAAUUGAAAUUAUCUUUAUCGGGGACAUAAUUUUCAGAAAAUUUGUCUGACAGGAGUUGGAUAAAGGGCCGAAUUUUAUAGAGCCUGUCAAACAGUGGGUCGUUUCUAGGGGGACACAGUGCGUUAUCAUUAAAAUGAAGGAAUUGCAGCAGUUGCAGGUAGCGAUCCCUCAACAUAACCUCAGGGAAAAGAGGGGUAGCCAGGAUGCGUUGCUUGCUCCAGUAGGACCUGAUACUGGGCUUUUUAACAAUACCCAUCAUUAGGGUUAAAGCCCAAAACCGCUUCAUCUCUGCGACAUCCGUGGGUCUCCACAUAUUCCUGCGACCAUGAUGGGACCCCGGAUGUGCAGAGAGAUACUGCAUGGCAAACAAAUUGGUUUGCUGAGCCAUGAGCUCAAAUAUAUUGUCUGAUUUAAAGAGCUAAAAAAAACGAAAUGGCUCGCAGUUGUCCACUGUUACAGUGAUGUCAGGUGUAACAGUGAACGGCGGUAUUUCUGGAGCCAUCAUGUUUAAAGGCACCCAGUCUCCGUCUGGCAUUGCUGAGCGUCCUCUGGUGAGUGGUGGUGGGGCACCAUCACUUGAGUUCUCACUCAGAGGCUCAAUGUCAGAGGCAGUGAUAGUGUCACUGUCUUGCAGAGUUUCACUAUCACUGCCUACCAGAAUGGCAUUUGCCUCCUCGGCUGAGUAGCGACGUGCCAUUCUAGGGGGACAAAUUAAUUAAUUUAUAUACUAAGGGGGUAAUUAAUUAUCUACCUGCCUAACACCUACUACACGCCCUCAAAAAAUAAUAUAAAUGUACUGAUCACAGUUAGAGAUGUCGCGAACCGUCCGCGAACAUCUCGCGAACGGUUCGUGGCGAACUCCGGUCAGCUGACACGUCCCGGCCAAUCUCCAGCAGACCCUCCCUUCAACAUGGAUGCUGUCCAGGAAGUAGGAGGGUCUGGGAGGGAGGGUCUGCUGGAGAUUGGCCGGGACGUGUCAGCUGACCGGAGUUCGCCGCGAACAGCUCGUGGCGAACCGCGGCGAACCGUUCGCGAGACGUUCGCGGACGGUUCGCGACAUCUCUAAUCACAGUGUAGGCAGCUGCAAUCAGUACAAAUAUACAAAUAACCCUAAAAAAGGUCAGUCUGAUCAGAGAGCCCUUUGAUCACAGUGAUCACUGAUACAGUACUGUACAGCAGAUAAACUGUACCGUAUAGUGAUCACGGCAGCGGGGAAAGGGUUAGGGGAGAUUUGGGUUGCUGCGACUGAAACAAAGGUUAAAAAAAACCCCCACCAAAAAACAGAAUAAUAAAAUAAGGAUAACACAUUAGAUAUAAGUGACUCUCAGUCUCUCCAAAAAAGUAUAAUGAUAAAGUAAACUAGACAAAUAAGUACACAAAUAAAUAAAACUAGGGUUGGGGGAGGGACAAGGUGACUGGGAGGGGGGUUAGACGGAAAUCAAUGAGAAAAUGCAAAAUAUUGAUGAUGACAAAAAUACCAUGGUCUGAAAUAUAGAAGCACUACCAUACUACACAAGGCAGGUACAUGUCUGAAUUAAAAAAAAAAACAACAAAAAACAUGUAAUUAAUUUGCCUACCACACAAAGACCCCCCCACCACCCCCCAAUUCCCACUUCCACCUACAGAAAACCCAACACCCAACCCAAAAAAUAAAAUACAAUUUACUAAUCUCAGAUCAAACAGCUGCGACCAGCACUAAAAAAAAUAUUUUUUUAUAGGAAAAAAAAAGCCACCUGAUCAUUAAUACAGUACCAUGCAGCACAGAUACUGUAAAAUAGAAUGGUCUGGCAUCAGGCAAGGAUUGCAAAAUAAAUCUGCUGUAUCUGACAAAAAGAGUCAAAUUAAUGUUUAAAUGUGGACCCCCCAAAAAAUAAAUAAAAAAAUGCAAUACCAAGGUACUAAGCCUCUUAAUCAGACUGAUCAAAGGGUUAAUGCUGUGGUCAGCCACUAAAAGGGUUAAUAAAAUUGUUUUCUUUGUAUUUAUUAUUUGAUUUUCACACCUUGUAACUGUGAUCUUUCUGUCUCUCUCUCCUCAGAUCAAAGUGAGAAGAGAGGGGCAGAGACAAUGUCUCAUCCAAUGUUAAAAAUCAUGGCUGAGACAUUGUUACUGUGAUCACGGUGACAGGCUGUCACUGCAAUUACGUGUUGCAUUUCACCAUAAUUGGAUGCAGUGGGACUGCCUGCGUUGCCAAACAGGACCCGAGCGAGAUCUGCUGCAUGAGAAAGGGGGUGGACUGCAGGGAGGGCUAAAUCGUUUGGGCGUGCUAUACCCCACUAACGCAAUGUAAGCACGCCUACUGCAGGACGGCAUAGCACGCCCUAAACGUGUGAAUGGGUUAAUGUUGCGGCUGAUCAGUGCCUCUCUCUUACUGCUUCCAACUCUCUUUGACUAUUCAGUGAGGAAAUACCUGACAGUUAUAGAUAAAAGUUGUCAUGUUUGUUUAUGCAGUUUUCCAGACAUUUCUAAUUUCUAAUCUAUGCCAUUAUUUGCACAAAAAUAUUCUUUACUGCACUUCUAAAAUAAUUGUUGCCUUGUUCCAUUUUUUUCAAAAAUUAUUUGGUUUGUUUGCUUCCACUCUACAUGUUUUCUGAGAGGAUUAGAAGUAAAAUGAUGGCUAUGGUUAAGAAACACUAAUCUCAGCCCAAACCCUAAACUUAAAAAAAGUUAAUUUACAGAUUCAUAACAAUGAAGUGUGUAUUAUUGGAAUGAUGAAUGCCAUCUGGUUUAUUAACCCCCUUCAGGACGGAGUCAAUAGUGCACGUUCUGAUCAAAACAAAACGUAAACAAAAACUGGAAUUUGCGCUAUAUGUCUGUCCAACCAUAAUUCACCGCUGUCACAUUAAGUGCACCCACACUUAUAACAUAUAAUUUUGUUCAGGGCUUUAAUUUAUCAUUAACUAUUCAUAUAUGAAACAUAAUUUAUUAUGAAUAAAAUUUAAAAAAAUGUGAGAAAAUAAGAUUUUUUUAUUUAAAUUUGAAUUUCCGUCUGUCAUUUUAGCUGUGAAUGUCAUAAUACUGUUAGGUUUUACUGCAAAAAAAUGCACAUAUUUGUUAUCAGCGAUGUCUCACGAGUACAACAGUACUCCCCAUUAACAGGUUUCAUGGUGUUUUGGAAAGCUACAGGGUCAAAUAUAGAACGUUCCAUUUUCACACUGAAAUUUGCCAGAUUAGUAAUGUUACCUUUGAGACGGUGUGGUAGCCCAGGAAUGAGAAUUACCCCCAUAAUGGCAUACCAUUUGAAAAAGUAGACAACCCAAGGUAUUGAAAGUGGGGUAUGUUUAGUCUUUUUUUAGUAGCCACUUAGUCACAAACUUGGAAAGAUGAAGAGGGGGUCAGGAUUCCAGCGAUAGCCAGUUUAGCUCUUAUAAUAUUUUACAAUGGUGGGUCAAGUAAUUACAUUGUAGCACAAAGUGGCAGAAUGAAUUAUACAAUGUAUUAUGUUUAUGAAGGUGAUUUUACAGUGCAGAUGCAUGCUCUACAUACAUAAUCAAUGACUGGCAUGAGCAUUUGCUGUACAAUCUUUUCCUUUACUGUGGGGCGUAGGCAGGGUUUGUUUCUGUACAGGGCAUCUAGAUUUGGAUAAAGUUUUGAUGAGAGUUUUUAAGUGUGGGUGCCAAAAGAUAGAUUGGGUUCUUGCAACAUACCCAAGUAUUUGAAAGUAUAGACUGAGAUCAUUAGGUUAUUUGAUUUUGUUCAGAUGCAUAGAUGGGAAUCUUGUAAUUUGUGUAAUUUAGGUACAGUUCCAAAGAUCAUUGUGAUAGUUUUGUCAGUGUUUUGGAAGGGUUUUAUCCACAAACCACUUUUCUACCUCUGUGAACUGGUCUUGGAUAAUAGCCCCAAGUUGCGGUAGAUUGCGUUGUCUGGGUACGUGUGUACAGUUGAGGCUUUGCAGAUGUUAGGCAGAUCAUGUAUGAAUAAUGUGAAUAGUAGGGGACAGAGUAGGGAGCAUUGUGGAACACCUCACUUGACUGGGAGAUGGAAUCUAUGUAAAAAAUGGACACAUAUCCAAAACAUAUGAUUUAAACCAGGUUAGUGGAUUAUCACCAAUAGCUGAGUUUAUGCAGUAGAAUACCGUGAUCUACUGCAUCAAAGGCCUUAGUAAAAUCAAGCAAAAUAGCUCCAGUUGGGUCUCCUUGUUGCAUGCCAGUUUGGAUGUCAACCAUAUGACUUCACCAUCCACUACAGGCCCGGUAAACAGAAUGGAAAUGCUGACGGGUUGUUCCUACAGACCGAACUGUUAAAGUGAUCUGUGGGCCCUCCCCCGGACAUCUCCAAGCUGAUCCGUUGGGAUCAGACUGUGUAUGCCAGCUUGUGGUUAAGGGGCAGCUGUGUGACGGGACCACUGCCGGUCAGUGAAUUGCCCUUCUUUAUAUUAUGUGUGUUUUCCCCAUCCCUCCCGACAGGGGACCAUCCCGAUACCCCUAUUUAGAAUGUUAGUUUAGAACCUUGACAUCUCGCAACAUAAGUAUCAAACCGCAAGGGAAACAAAGGUGGGCGGCCACCUUUGGAACAGAGUGCAGACAGAGUGUUUCUGACUUGAUUAGUUUUUUGGUUGCUACUAUAGCACGUUCCCAGUGGUCUUUACUUAUGUGGCAUUGUAGGUCUUGUGCCCAGUGCUUGGCUGGGUUAGAGUCUGCAAAGUGUUGUGUGGGUCGGAGAAGCUGAUAACACCAAGAUAGUGGCUUAAACGCUAGUGCCCAUAAACCCUUGGUGGUCGUCUGUUCCCAUUUUGUCAUAACGAAAGAGCUUUUGUCUGGGGUGGAAGUUUUUUCUGUGUGUUUAUGCAUAAACGAUCUUAGUUGCAUGUGGGAGAAUUGAGAGGCCACCGGUAUGUGAUAUUCUUCUUGUAGGGCUGGAAAAGUUUUUAGUUUGUUAUGUGCGAGCAUUUGGUGCAGGUGUGUGACCCCGUUAGUUAUCCAUGGCUUGGCAUUAAAGGUUGGGAUACAAUAUGUGAUAGUGUUAAGCGGGGUGGCUGGUGAUAGGGGGGUAUGGGUUGUUAGCUUGUGUCAAAGCUUAUCCCAAGCUUUUAUUGCUAUUUUCAUCUGUGUUGGCAUCUGUGGCACUUCUGGCCUAACCCUAUUUGGAAGCCACAGUAUGGUGGGUACGUCAAAGGGCUUAAUAGCUAGUUUUUCCAUUUGCACCCAUUUCGGUAGAGCCGUGUUUGUGAAGUGGGGAAGGAGUGCUGCUAAUAUCGCUGCUUGGUAGUAUGUCUUAAUGUCCGGUAAGGCGAGGCCACCCUGUCUCACCGGUGCUCGUAGCAGUGUUGCCUGUACCCGGGCCCUUUGGCCCCCCCACACAAAUCUGUUAAUAUCUUUUUGUGUUUCUCGGAGGUAGGAUACAGGUACCUGGAUCGGUAAGUUGCGAAACAAGUAUUGGAGCCUAGGGAGUAUGGACAUUUUGAUGGUUGCUACUCUCUCGGUCCAGGUCAGAAACAAGGUGCCCCAUCUCUUCAUUAGUUGACGACAGUCUCCCCACACCCUAACAUAGUUAGCAGAAAACAUCUCUGUAGGGAUUUUUGUGAAGGUCAGUCCUAGGUAUUUUAUUGUAUCUGUUCUCCACUCAAAAAGAUGUUCCUCUUUGAGGGCAGUCAGUGUUCAUUGGCUAAGCCGCACUCCCAGCGCCUGUGUCUUCCUGGCAUUAAGAGAGUAGUAUGACAUCGUCCCGUAUUCCCUUAUGAGGUCUGGAAUAAGUGGGAUCGACUGUUCAGGUUCGGUGACACAGAGGAGGAUGUCAUCCGCAAAUGCGUUAAUUUUAAUUUCCCUUCCAUGCAGCUCUAUUCCCCUGAUACCCGCCCGAUUCCUAAUUUGGACCAGUAAUGCUUCUAGGGCCAAGACAUAUAAUAGCGGCGAUAAAGGGCAUCCCUGCCUUGUACCAUUUGUUAGAGGGAACAGGUCUGAGAUGAAGCCGGCUUGUAGCACCCGGGCCGUGGGGCCUGUGUAUAGGGCAAAGAUCUGCUUGAUAAAUUCGGCGGGAUGUCAUAUUUUAGAAGUGUGUGUUCGAGAAAUUACCAAUUCAGAUGGUCAAACGCCUUUUCGGCGUCAAGAGCUUUCUAGUAUUGUCUCUGCCCUGCCUACUCUUAAUGAAGCCUGUUUGGUCGUCUCCUAUGAUAGUUGGAAGGAUAUGUGCCAGUCUGUUGGCCAGUAUCUUAGCGUAUAUCUUCGCAUCGGUAUUGAGAAGGGAGAUAGGUCGGAAAUUUUUGCAAUUGUCUGUAGGCUUGUCUGGGUUCGGGAGCGUUUCUAUCGUGGCCACUAGCAUUUCAGGGGGGAGAGAUCCUGUUUCUGUCGCUGUACGGUAUACUUUUAGCAGGUGUGGGGUUAGCAUGUCUGUGAAUGUCUUGUAAUAGGUGUUUGAGAAUCCAUCUGCCCCUGGGGAUUUGCCCGGGGGCAGACUCUUAAUUACUUCCCGGAACUCCUGUAUGGUGAUCGGUUCGAGUAAGGCACUCACUGAGUUUUGGUUUAACUUGGGGAGUUCAAUACCUCGUAAGUAGCUGCAGAUAUAUUGUGUUUCUGGGGCUUUCACGCCACCACUUGAGUCUAGAUUGUAUAGUUGUUUGUAGAAGUGUGCAAAUUCCUGCACUAUGUCCAUGGGGUUCAUGAGUUUGUCCCCUGUGUACCCUAUGAGGUAUGGGAUUCUAUUGGCGGCCUGCUUUGUUCUGAGUCUGUUGGCCAGGUAUUUAGAUGCUUUGCCACUGUGGUGGUAUGUGGUGGCUCGUAGUCUGUGUAGAAAAUAUCGGGUCUUUUGGGCGUUGAGCUCGAUAAGGUCUUGGUAUAGGUCUCUUAAUUUGUCUGCUAGGGCUGUCGUGGGUGCCUUCUUGUUCUGGGCUGUGGUUAUCGCUAUUUGUUUGUGGCAGUCUAGGAGGGUGGUUUGGUGGCGUCGCUUUAUGUACGCUGAUUGUCUAAUGAACUGGCCCCUCAUCACCGCUUUAUGUGCGGACCACACUGUAUAGUCUGAGACCUCGCCUGUUGAGUUAGCAAGGAAAUAUUCUAGCCUCAUACGCUCUACGAAUGGUUUGUCUAGGAGGAGAGACUCGUUUAGUCUCCAUGUGCCUCUGCCUCGGGGUUGGUAUGUAUCUUUCAAGUCAAGAUAGAUUGGACUAUGAUCAGACCACGUUAUCUCCCCUAUUUUACAGGCUGUCAAUUGUGGUAGGGUCUUGUUGUCUAUGAAGAAUGUGUCUAUACGUGUGUAUGUGUAGAAAGUGUAAUCCCGGUCAGUGGGGUGUAGCGUUCGCCAGCUAUCAUAUAAGUUGUACAAGGCCAAGGUGUUGGUCAUAGUUUUGCAGAAGGCGUGAGUCCCUUUUUUGCGUUUUCCCUGUGGGGAGGCGGUAGUGUCAAUGGUCAGGGACUGGAUGAAGUUAAAGUCUCCUCCCGGUAUGAGCCCCCCUUGUUUGUAUGUAUCCAGUUUGGACAGAAGAAAUUUGAGGAAAGAGGCUUGGUUGUCAUUCGGGAAGUACACUGCACCUAUGGUGUAUUGUGUAUUGUUGAAGAGCCCUACCACUAUGAUGUAUCUCCAUUUAGGGUCUAUGUAACAGCUUUGCAGAGUAAAGGAGACGUCUUUAUGCACUAAGAUGGCAACCCCUUUCGUCUUUGCUUCCGACAGGGCAUGAUACUGUACAGGGAUUAGUUUAGUAAAGAGUGAUGGGGCUGUGGGGUGUCUAAAGUGCGUUUCUUGAAGGCAUGCUAUAUCAACAGAGUUUUUCUUAAGGUCAUGUAAAAGCAGUCUACGUUUUCCAGGGGAAUUUAUUCCCUUAACAUUAUAAGACACUAUUCUCAUUCUGGUGUGGUUACGUCAGGUAAUGCUAGUGAUGGUAUCCGUGUAUGUAGGAUUACGAACUUUUUCUCAUACACAAUGUUUUGGUAUGUGACCUUGUUUGACAGUUCGGUGCGAAUGUCUGUUGCAAGAAGUGAUAUGGAGGCAGGAAGGGGAUGGGGUAAGGUCAACCUUUGGUUGCUGUCUUUGCAUUGUUUACUGUAUGUAGGAGGGAGGGGGGUAAAGGAGGGCAUAGCCCUAAGAGGCUCCUCUGGGUCGAGCCUUUUUGCGGCGCCCAAGGGUCGCUCACAGUCUAGGGGGAUGGUGGUGUUGGGACUUUCCGUUGAGGAGGAUGUCCCCUUAACAAGCACACACUGGGGCACCAUGGGUGCUGGUGCAAUUAGCCUGUGUUGCAUGGCACUUUUUUUUUUGUUUGUUUUUUUGUGGACCUGUGAGUCUCCGGUGCCCUGACUCCCCAACCCUUGGUAAUUGGGCAGUGUCAUAAUCUAACCGAGAGUUUGUCUCGUUGUGUACUUGUUAAGUCGGUAUGGGAGGAGGUCGGGGGGGCCACGGUAGUCACCCCUACGUGCGUCUCAAGUGAAACAGUAAGAUAGGAAAACACAAAAUUAAGUACAACAAAAUAACUGGUAACUUGAUUAUGCGCCUUACGUAUACCGCUCGGGUAUGGAGUCUCUUUAACGGGAUGCCCAAUCCUGACCCAGGCAGGGAACUUUCAUUAGGCCUGUUUUUGGUACCUCAGCCAGCGGGAUGCCCCAGUCUCUGAGACCUAUAGAAGGCUGGCCAGGAUCAGAGAUGGCUCUGUUUCGCAGCAUUACAUGGCUUUAUGCCUUGUGGCGUUGACGUGAUGGAGUGGAGGGAGUCUUGGUGGUAUAUUAGCAGCUUAGCCGGAUAUCCCCAUUUGUAGCUCAGUCCCUGAUUACGCGAUAGCGUGAUUUGUGCCACAGACUUGCGGUAUUGUAAGGUUUCUGCCGAGAGGUCGGAAAAUAUUUUUAUGUUGGUAAAUUUCUCUGGCAUCCCUCUGUUCCUGCUUGUCUUGAUAAUUCUUUCUUUGGCGUGAAAGAAGUGUACUCUUGCUAUGACGUCCCUCGCUGCCUUGUUAGGUAGGUGGCUAGGUCUUCUGAGUCGGUGCGCUCUGUCUAGCAGCAGUUGGUCCGGAUGCAGUUUGGGGGUCAUCUGCUGGAACAUGUCUUGUAAGUAAGUUUCCAAGUCAGUAUUUGUUACUGAUUUUGGUAUUCCCCUAAAUCGGAGGUUGUUCCUCCUGGACCUGUCAAAUCUGUUGAGCUGUGAUAACAUCUUCCAUUUCUUGCAUUUUAUCAGCCACGCUGUUAUGGGCCGUGGAGAAAUCGUCCAUCUUGGACUCUAGAUGCGCAGUGCGGAUCCCUAUGUCCUGCAGGUCUUUUCUGAGUUCAGCCGUCAAUGUCAGCAUUUGAGCCUUAAGGCUCCUCUGGACUGUGUUUGUGAGUUCUGCCAUCAUGCUCCUCAUAGUAGCUACUGUGAGGGGCUGAUCUUCAGCAUUUGUUUCAGGGGAGGCUGGGGAUGCAGGCGAGCCCUCCCGCGAUCGUGAUGGGCCGCCAUCUUGUUCGGCGUCUUCCCGCGCUUUUUGCGGUGAGACUUUUGCCAGAAAAAAGGACGCUUUGUCUGCCUUCGUGGGCUUGGUUUUCAGCCUCUGGGACAUGGUGAGUACCUGCGGUGCCUCUUGCCGUUACUGACGCUCAGAAGUCCGAUUAUUUAGUGCCCCGUGUAGCUUGAUCGGCGGGAGCUACACCGGCAUGCGACCAUGCAGCUCGAGCGCUAAACCACGCCCCCUUGCAAACUUUUUCAGUGUCCCUCUUACAUGUGCAGUUAGUUUUUCCAUUAAGUAAAUAUCUUUGAUUUUAUUAAGUACCGUAGCCAUUAAGGGAGUAGUAGGCUGUAGCCAGAUCUGCGCCAAGGAUCUGCGGGCGCCAAUGUAAUGCUGCGAAACAGAGCCAUCUCUGAUCCUGGCCAGCCUUCUAUAGGUCUAGAUAGUACGGACACCCAUGGAUCAAGGUUAAAGUGUUUUUGGAGGAUCUGGGACGUCAGCCUUUCCACCUCCUUCCAGAAGGUGGCCACUAAGGGGCAGCUCCACCACAUGUGGUGGUACAUUCCUCUGUAACCACACAGCCUCCAGCAUUGAUCUGUUGGGGUUUUAUGCAUGUAGUACAGUUUCACCAGUGUUGUGUACCACCGGAGCAUGGUUUUGAAAGCCUGUUCCUGCAUUGCCAUGCAGAUCGAUGUUUUGCUAUUGGCUUCCCAUAUGUCCCACCAGUCUACGCCCUCCAAAACCUCUCCUAGUUCGGCUUCCCAUCUACUAGUAUAAGUUAGCUCCCCUCAAUCUGUUGUGUUGGAGCACAGGUGAGAAUAGAUGGUGCUGAUCAGACCUUUCUGGUAUGUCUCAGGAUCACAUACUUUCUCAUAGAAGGUAGGCCAUGUGCGGGCCGCCUUCUUGAUGUGAGGUAAGCUCGUGAAGUCUCACAUCUGGAUGUAUCUGAAGAAGUCUGUGGUUGUUAAAGUGGUCCUAUUUUUUUAAGGUCGUUAAACGGGAUCACUUUGUCGCCUACCUAUAUUGGAUGUAUUCAUGGUAAUCCCGCAUAUUCAAGGCCUUUAUAGUCUCGUGCCCUCAUGCCUGGGGGGAAUGCUCUAUUGCGAAGUAGGGGCAUCAUGGUGGAUGGGGAGGACAUCAGCUCAUGUUUCCGAGCGGAGCAGUCCCAGACCCGGAUGUAGUUGGUGCUUGACGGGCAGAUGGUGUCUAGUGGUGCACUAUGUUCUUUUGGAAGCCAAAUAUACAGUUUUGGGAGAUCAGCUCCCAUGAGCAUGGAAUCUAGGUCUACCCAUCUCCUCUGAUCAGGAGGAGUUUGCCAUAGGGCUACCUGUGUGAGUUGGGCUGCCAAAUAAUAGUGGAGGUGUGGUAGUCCCAGGCCUCCAGCCACCUUGGGGCGGUAUAGUAUAUUGCGUGCCACUCUAUGCCUCUUAUUCUGCCAUACAAAUCUGUUUAUUUCUCUUUGUAAAAGCGCAAAGUCUUUUUUGGAAACUGGGAGGGGUAAUGCCUGAAAUAGGAAAAGUAUGCCGGGGAGUAAGUUCAUUUUCACUGAGUGAAUUCUGCCUAUCCAGGAUAUCGGUUUGUCGGACCACUUUUCCAUGUUGCCCGUCAGUGCCCAAAAGGGGGGGUGUAGUUGGCCUGAUAUAACCUCUAUGGGUUAGCAGUGAGGUUUAUCCCCAGAUACUUGAUGUGGUUGUGUGUAAUUCGUAUUUUAUAUAUUUCACUGACGUGUGCCGCGUCCGCCGCCGAGAGGUCUAGAGGGAGAGCACUUGACUUUUCCAUGUUCACUUUGUAACCAGACAUAUUCCCGUAAGAGGACAAGAGUGGGAUGGUUCCUUUUUUAUCGUUUUGCAAAGGGGUGAACUUUAUGGACUUGUCAACACAAAUUACAAUACCUCCUCCUUUUUGCUCUCAUUUCUAUGGCAUAAAUAGCCAUGUAUUACAAUGGCAGAGUCAGGUGUUUUGCGGUUCGAGCACAAUGAUUUCAGGCUUGUAAUGUGAACACCAAGCUUGCAGCGCAUCCAUUUCAGGUAGUAAGCUGUGGAUGUUACAGUGCACAAAGGAGAAGCCUUCUUUAGCAGGGAAACAUGGAAUAUGUUGUGGGGGACCAGGGUUAGACUCUGCAUCGUUUCCAAGGCCAAUUAACACGAGUAAACGAAUUUGGACAUAAUUCCCAGAUUUUACUAUUAACAUGACGUAAAGUCAUGAUUUUAUUAAUGACACGGAGGCUCCUAUUAUGCUAUCUCUUUCUUACUUUAUUCCUCAGCAGCAAAGAGAAAUAUAAAACUGAAAGAGAAAAAAAUGUAGAUAUGCAAUAAUAAUAAUAACAGGUACAACCAGAUCUGCCUAGUAACAGGGCAGCCAAUCAGUCUCUAGGAACAGUCCAUAAAUCUCUAUCCUUGUACUUCCACUUCCUCUUCUUUGCCUUCUGAACCGAAGACCCAAAGCAAAAUAUCCAAGCAGUAACUAAGAAACGUCAAACCGGUAGACAUCACAGACCGGAAUCAAGCUGUAAAACAAAGAAAUAUGUGGUAAACUCCAAACUUAGGAACUGAGUGCAACAUAUCGAAUAUACGUGACCUGCAAAUAGAGAGCAUCAUACUCAAAUUCAUGUACAUAUGUCACACUCUAAAACACCAUAUGUUCAAUACAAGUAACACAUGUGCACUUACCGUGAGAUAAGACAAACCCCCCGAUUGAACCCAAAGCGAAAAACCAGACCCAGACCCACGGGAGGGUGGGUGGGAAUAAUACUCGCCUCCGUGUCAUUAAUAAAAUCAUGACUUUACGUCAUGUUAAUAGUAAAAUCUGGGAAUUUUAUUAAUGACACGGAGGCUCCUAUUAUGCUAGUUUAAAGCUGAGCCACAACCAAUGAAGAAACAUGUUCAAUCGGGCGGAAAUAAAAAUCACGGAACGUAGAUUCCUUAGACCAAUCUGCCGCUUUCAAGAUAUCGUCCAGGCGACAUCCUAUCGUAGAAGCCUUUGAUGCCAUGGCACCCCUAACUGAAUGAGCCGAAAAAAUCGAAAUAUCGAUACCCACAGCCGAGAGGAGGUCUUUAACCCAGCGGGCAAGCGUCGGCGACGAGACCGGUAGAAACGGUGCUUUCAAGGAGAUAAAGAGUGGAGGCAAGUCAGUUGACCUCAGCAGCCGGGUACGAUCCAAAUAAGCCUGGAGACAAGCCACAGGACACAAAGCAGGUCUGAUGGAGCAUCUAGGGUAGUCCACCGACUUGGAAGCCGACUUAGUCCUCCUCGAGAUAUUAAAUGACACACCUCCGGGGGUGAACGAGACCGCGUUCCAGUCCAGAGCCCUGACGUCCGACACCCUCUUACACGAAAGUAGACACAGAAGCAUGACCAGUUUCCAUGAUAACUGUUUGAGUGUCAAGUCCUCAUUACAGGGCCAGGAGUCCAAGAAUCCAAGGACGACGUUAACGUCCCAAAACGAUGAGUAUCUAGAUCUUGGCGGUCUAGCAAAACGGAUACCUUUCAACAAGCGGCACACGAUAGGAUGUUGUCCAAUCGGAGAUCCGUCUAUCCCUUGAUGUCCGGCCGAAAUGGCUGAUCUAUAAACAUUAAGGGUACGAUAAGCCAAACCAGAAUCAAAACGUUCCGUCAGGAAACCAAGCAGCGCAUUUAGAGGGGCAGAAAGUGGAUCCAGCAAUCUUCCCAAGCACCAGCCAGACCACACGCGCCAUGCGGUCCUGUAAGCCGCUCUGGUACCUGGUGCCCAGGCAUUCUCCAAUAGUCGAGCAGUUGUCUGCGAAACGUCCGUGACACACCAGGGUCUCCCGAGAUUAGCCAAGCCGUGAGUUGAAGUAAGUUCUGAUCCACCAAUUCGUGCAAUUUCCCAUCCGGAUCCAGAAGUACAUCCGGCCUCAUUUCGAUUAUCCGUGGGAAAUCUAUGGCCAUCUCCAGAAGGCGGGGAAACCACGGUUGAGAGUGCCAGAGCGGAGCUACCAUCACUAUCGUGCAAUUCUGUCCGGCCGAGUACGCCAGUGUCCGGGAUAUCAGGUUGAACGGUGGGAACGCAUAAUGGCGUCCCGGCGGCCACGUCUGCAAGAACGCGUCCACUGCCGUGGCCGCUGGGUCCGGUCUCCAACUGAAGUACUGGGGUAGUUGGGUGUUCAAUCUGGACGCGAACAAAUCCAGGUGAAGUGGACCCCACAACCGUUCUAUCCUUUGAAAUGUUGAGGACAGCAAGUGCCAGUCUCCUGAAUCCUUCAGGUAGCGCGAGUUCCAAUCCGCCCACUCGUUGUCCAGACCCGGAAUGUGCUCGGCCGUAACCGAUACGGCAUUGUGUAGGCAAUACCGCCAGAAAUCCUUUGCCAAGUUCGCCAACUGCUUCGAUUUUGUCCCCCCGAGAUGGUUUAUGUACCUGACAGCGGACACAUUGUCCAUACGUAGGAGGACGCAGCAAUUUCCCUGCGUCGGAGAUAGACUUCGAAUGGCAAACGAACCCGCCAGAAGUUCCAGGCAGUUUAUGUGCAGAGCCGAUUCGAUCUCUGACCAUCUUCCACCGGUGGAGACACCGCCACAGCGAGCGCCCCAGCCAUGCAGGCUUGCGUCCGACUCUAUUAUCACAUCCGGCGCGGAGCCGAAGAUCGCCCGGCCGUUCCAGGCCUCCAUGUGGUCCAGCCACCACCUUAGUUCGUCUCUGGAGUCCCUGUCCAGGGUCAACACGCUCUCGUACGAGCCCCCUGAGCGAAGAUGGGACCCUUUCAAACGUUGGAGUGCUUGAUAAUGCAGUGGGCCCGGAAAAAUUGCCUGAAUCGAUGAGGCCAACAGGCCGAUCACCCUCGCCAAUUGCCGGACGGAGAGAGAGGUGGCUCGCAGCGCCCGUCGUAUCUCCUUUUUCAUCGAUCGGAGUUUUGCCUCCGGGAGGAACAGACACUGGGUGACUGAAUCGACCUCGAAGCCCAGGAACUCUAUCCUUUGUACCGGGGUCACAAUGGAUUUUUCCCAGUUGACGAGGAAACCUAGUCUCUCCAGGAGACUCACCGUCCAUCUCAGGUGCCUGAGAAGUUGCUCGGGGAUGAAGACAUAAUCAGUAUGUCGUCCAGGUAGAUAAUCAUGCGGACCCCUCGUGCCCUGAGGAAGGCCACCACGGGCUUCAUUACUUUCGUGAAGCACCACGGAGCUGAAGAUAGACCGAACGGCAGACAUGUAAAACGCCAUCGACGACCUUGCCACGUAAAAUGCAAUAAGUCCCAAUGCUCCUCCGCCAUGGGUAUAGUCAAGUAGGCAUCUUUGAGGUCUAGUUUGACCAUCCAGUCUCCCUGACGGAGCAGGUCCCUGAGACAAUGAGCGCCCUCCAUCUUGAAGUGAUGGUAACGUAGGAAAGAAUUGAGGUGUUUGAGGUUUAUCACUGGACGUACGCCUCCGCCUUUCUUGGCGACAAGAAACAGGUUGCUUAGAAAUCCCGGGUGUCCGUAGGGGAUUUCUUGAAUAGCCCGUUUGGCAGACAGUUCCGCGAUCUCUGCGGUAAUUAAUCCGGCCUGCUCUGCCGGUAGUUUCAGCUCCUGUGGGAGAAACGUCUGGACAGGGGGAGACAAUAAAUCCAGGCGGAAACCUCUGACCGCACUGAGAACCCAAACAUCCGUGGUGAUCAUACCCCACACAUCGAGAAACAGUGCCAAUCCGCCCCCCACACUCGUUCUGCAAGAUACACGUGUUGGUGUACUCACCGUAAGGGCGUCUGUAUGAGGGUUGUCCACGACCUCCCCGACUCUGCCAUGGUCUCCCCCGUGAGGGAAAAAAGGGCGUUGGCUUAUAGUCUUGGUAGGUCCGGGGGGCGGAAAAGGAACCUCUUUGAGUCCUCGGGGGACCUCGAGCUCCACGGCCGGGCGGACGGCUCCUAUACCUCCCGGCCCCAUGGGAAACCUUAAGGCCGAACACCCUCUUCAGGUUGGACUGCGCCUUAUCGAGCGCGGUAAAGGUACGGACAAAGGAGCCUAAGUCCUUAACAAAACAUUCUCCGAAGAGCAUACCCUUGGCCGAAGCACCAGGCUCCUUCACUGCCAGGUUAACUAACUUGGGCUCAAUUUUGAGCAGAAUCGCCUUGCGGCGUUCAGCCGACAUGGCUGUGUUCGCGUUGCCGAGAAGGCAAAUCAACCUCUGGACCCACCCAAUCGCUUCAUCAAAAUCAAUAGGCUUCGUUCCAGCCUUAGCCGCUUCCAGAAGCUCGUAAAGCUUGGCGGCGGGGCCCAGGGUAUCCAAGAUCUUGUCUUGGCAAUUAUGCAGUGAAAAUUCCAGUCCUUUUCGGGGCUUCCAACCCGUCUUAGUUAAGAACUGAGAAAUCUGGGGGUCAACCUCUGGCGUCUUGCACGCCGAAUCAGGCACCGAAGGCCUUGGGCACUCGGCCCUCAGUUUACUGCGCCCCUCCUUGGAAAGGGGGGUACGCAUACGAAGCGCCAGAUAAUUGGCAAUAUGCGCGGGCGGGUCCCAUUCCGCCGAGCGGGGAUGGCGAAGGUCAUCGGGAUCGAACAGGGGGUAACCCUGAGGAUCACAGAUGUCCUGCCCCUCACCUGGCGGAAGCGCCGAAGCGUCAAACUCCGCCUCAUCGCCGGAAACCCCUUCCUCAUAGGAGGCGUAAUCAGGGGGAUCCGAGUCUGACUCUCCAGUUUGAUCGGUAUCCGAUCCAUCAUCAUCUCGGGCACGUGCCCGUUUCCAUUUUCUGGCCGAUUUUGCCCGGCCAGCGGCUCUCUUGCGCGGAAACGCGCCAAAUGGGACGGCCAUAGGCACGUCAGUCAAGGCAGGUGUCACCUGCGUCCUCUCUGGAAAGACAUGUUUAAAUUUUGUUUGUGCCUUGCGACCCAUAUGAGGCUGCAGCGCAGGCAGGGGAACAGGCAACACGGCAGGGCCCAAAGGUUGCGACAGCGCUUGCUGAAUAGUGUGAGAGAGGGACGAGGACACUGUCCCCAUGGCUGAAGCCAGGGCCUUCUGCAUGGUGGAAUCAAAAAGGGCCUGGAACUCCUGUGAGGGAGUAAGGCCCAUACCCCCUGUAAUAGGGGUCUGAGAGGAGUCCAUAAUGGGGUAACUGGGACUACCAGAACCCUCACUCCUAGCCUGCAUAAUUAACAGAGUCAAAUAGAAACUGCAAGUACUUUCCCUUUAAAUAUCUGAGACAAGGAGCAGAGCAAAUCUGUAAAACCUAAAUAAGCUAAAACAGGUGACAGAAAAUAAACCUACACAGUAUAAAGGGUUGAGUAACCCACCAGGAACAAACGAACUAUAUAUAAAUACUUGCACACAGUAAUGGGAGGUAAAAGGGAGCCGACCCAGCCGCGUGGAAACCGAGGGUAAGAUGGCCGCCGCGCGCAGAACGCGCCCCGGCCGUUUCCAGGCUCCUCCCCCGCUAAUGGACGGGGAGCGCGACCACACACGCGGCCGGCACUCCUUGCACUAGCGGGAGAUCGGGUCGGCAGAUAAGCGCGGCCGCGUAGGGGACCAGGGAGCAGAGGGCUCGAGAAUGAAACCUCCCCUGCUAGCCGCGAACCCUGUCUGAAAGGGGGACGGCCAGACAGACAGGGGAAGCGGCGGGUAAACGCAGGGGAGGCAAACAAUAUGUACCACCAAAAAAGGUAUACAAAUCAAAAGAACAUCAACAUAAAGCCUGUCAAUAAAAGACAAUAAGCAAACAGAAAACGAUAACAUAAAAUAACACAGGCAAAAAAACCUUAGUGAAACCCAUCAAUCAAAAACCAAGUAGGAGAGAAAAAUUAUACUUAGCUGGUCUGAGGACAGCAGCAAAGAAAGAGGAAGUGGAAGUACAAGGAUAGAGAUUUAUGGACUGUUCCUAGAGACUGAUUGGCUGCCCUGUUACUAGGCAGAUCUGGUUGUACCUGUUAUUAUUUUAUUGCAUAUCUACAUUUUUUCUCUUUCAGUUUUAUAUUUCUCUUUGCUGCUGAGGAAUAAAGUAAGAAAGAGAUAGCAUAAUAGGAGCCUCCGUGUCAUUAAUAAAAUCUUAGUUUGGUGCUAUUGCAAUUGUGAGGUUUUAUAAUUUUGUGGGGUGGGGGUAGGAGGGCUGGAUUUUAACACUCUCCACCAGCACUCAGCAGAUAAAUUACAGCAAAAGAGCAGGCCAUGGUGUAUAAGAAUUUGGUUUUCAGUUUGUAGUGAGUUGUGCUUAAAGGGGUAGUGGUAGGAACAUGAUUGGAGUGGGAAAAGGGUUACAAAGAAUUACAUCUUAGAGGUAUGUACAUGAAAACAAACAAUACAAAUAUAAAAUUACUGGUAUUCUAUUACUAUUUCAGGUCACUGUUUAGCCUCUACUCUUGGACCAACUGCUUAUUCUAAUCAUACAGACAUGUAUAACUAGCAUUUAGUUAUCUGUUAUAUUAUCUUCUAAAAAACAAAACAAAAAAAAACCAAAGAAAAUGAGGCUGUUAUAUCCGAGAAAUGUUUCCACUACACUUGAUGUUAUAUAAUUGACAUAACCACCAUCUAACAGUCUGUAACUCAUAACUUAAUUGCCUCAAUAAGGAAUAAAAAAAAACCUAAUAAUAAAUAAUAAUGCAUAUAUGGUGAGGGAGUAGUACUUACACUACACAUAUGGCUAGGUACAGAAUACACACAUAAAUGCAGCAUGCACAUUUGAUUGAAGCACUGUCUGCUGUUUUACUCCUUGUUGAACUACCUUGGUAAACACCCAUGAUUCAAGGCACCUAUUGGAAACUGGCACUUGAUGGAUAGUGGCACACAGAUGGAAUGUAACCUGUGCUCCAUAGUUACUAAACUAAAUAGGGACCCCACUCUGCCUGGAGAUAGUCAAUUGGCUUAAUUGUCCCCAAUAAAUUUUGACAUGAGAUAGGAGGGAUUGGACAACUAGCAGACUGCACCGCAAUGAAUCAAGUUGACAGAUUAAAGGCAAAAUACAUGUAAUGAUUGUAAGGGUACUUCGUAAAUGGGGUGCAGGGAUUAACUAGAAGGAAAGUCAGAGUUUACCUGUGGAUGAGAGUAGAGGGAUGUCAGAUUAGUUCACAUUGAAGAUGCUGUGUUAGUUUCCUUGGUAAACCCAGGAGGUAGCUAGGACUAUUUUAAUGGAUUGAUUCAAUGCAUCUCUAUGAGGAGAUGUGAUUGGUGCAGCACCUUGCCACACAUGUGCAAUUGUCUCCCGAUUCUUUCCUAUUGGAAAGCAUUGGAUUGGCUGAGAUCAUCAAGUUUAAGAAUCUCAGUCAAGGGGGCAGAGCGUGGGCUGUACCCAUGCGGCACUGGAUUUGGUGACAAGACUGGUGUGGGAGAAAAGGUAAGUAAAAUCACCUCUUCAAGGCUCAGCGGAGUGGACGGCUGGUCACCUAAACAGCCACACCAGCACUAACGUGUUCCUUGAAUGGGAGAUAACUAACACCAGGCUUUCAUACUGGACGGUAAAAAUAAUCAUCAGGAGCAGAUGCUAACUCACUUAAAUUUAAAGUUGAAAAGGUAAAGUUAAUAACUGCAAACCCCAAAUAUACCCUCCUAUAAAAAUGACAUUUAUUCAAUAUUUAAUUACAUUUAAAAGCCCAUCUACCUGUAUGUAUGUGGUGUGUGUAGCGUUCAAUAAAUACCUGUAAAACGUUGCAUAUCAGGUGUAUGGAAAUAUUAAGGGGUUUCCUCACUAAACAGCAAUUAGUUAAUUGAAAAACAAGCUGUAAAUCAUCUGUUUUAGUAUACAAUUUGCAACUCAGAGUUCAAUUCACUGUUUAGUGAAUAAACCCUUAAGCCUUUAUGAGCUUUUCAAAAAGAUUGUAUCUUCAUGAAAUGAUCAAAAACAUUUUGGGGGGUAGAAGAGCUGCUUUAAAGAAUGUGGUGGACUACGGAAGUCUGCGGGUAUUUUUUUUUUUUUUAGCUACAAACACCAAACGGCUACUGAUAUUAAACUGCUUUGUAGCUGCUUUUUACUGAAAAGCAUGGAAAACAAUCUUGUCAUUUUAAAGUGUGAUCUGACAAUGUGUUGUAAGAGUAUUACGGAAUAUAUUUGUGCAGUUAUGACAUUUGUUUAAUAAAUUGUUUGUAGUAUUAUGUGCAAAAAGCAGUAAUUGUUUAAUACCACCUAUCAGAGUUAAUCAUUAAAGUAAAACAACAACGUGAAUGUAAAGUGACUUUCAAAUUUGUCUAAGUAGCCAAACUGCAAAAAUUAUCUAAGUCAGUUAUACUUUCAGUUUGGCUGCUGUGGCCUUAAAUUAUAAAUUCUCUUUAAAUUCAGAUUUUUAGUGAAUAGCCCUGUGUGUUAUUGCUUAAAAUAUACUGGAAUAUAUGUUAUUUCAAACAGCUUCUGUAAACUCAAAAAAACCUACACAGCUACCCCAUCUGAAAGGGAGGCACAUAAUACAUUGGUAUGUCUGAGUUGCCAAUGGACAUAAAAUGUCUUAUAAAGAAGAAUUUAGUUGGUUUACUGGACAGGAUGCAUAGAUCCUAGAGAACACAGCAAGCCUAAAAGCUAUGUUAGGGGAGGAUAUAGAACCGUCGCUCCUCCCCUCCCCUAGACAGAGGCACAAGAGCACUUUCGGUUUUAUAGUCAUCUCAGCUUCGCUGUUAAAUCCUUCUAAACGAUCUCACUUGAUCCCUUCAAAUCAUUAGCAGUGUCACUUUGGGGUCCUAACGGUGAAGGGCUGUGUAAUUUAGCAAGCCAUCUCCAGUGUCCUAUCGCAGCCCGGGCAGGGAUACUUAACGUUCUAUUUGCAUUCUAAAGAGAGAGAGAGCGCGAUCUUGCAUUAUGCCUGCACUAGGAGAUCUACUCUAUGCAUCAGGCAGUCUGGGGACCUCUGAAAGCAAGCACUAUUCCAACUGACAGCCCAAGCAAAAAGAAACUCACCCUCCCCAAAAUUUUGAAACGAUAAUAAACAAAAUCCAGAUACAAACUGAGCCACCGGCUUAGUGUAGAUCUGCUGGAUCCCUUGUCUGGGGCAGGAUCGGGCACAUAUCCGGUGUGACAUGCUGUUUUCCCUGACAGCUAGCGGUGUAACUGCAGCAGACAGAACUCCCUGUCCU